rnacentral:rRNA from 1 species
GAUGAACGCUGGCGGCGUGCCUAAUACAUGCAAGUCGAGCGAACGGACGAGAAGCUUGCUUCUCUGAUGUUAGCGGCGGACGGGUGAGUAACAUGUGGAUAACCUACCUAUAAGACUGGGAUAACUUCGGGAAACCGUAGCUAAUACCGGAUAAUAUUUUGAACCGCAUGGUUCAAAAGUGAAAGACGGUCUUGCUGUCACUUAUAGAUGGAUCCGCGCUGCAUUAGCUAGUUGGUAAGGUAACGGCUUACCAAGGCAACGAUGCAUAGCCGACCUGAGAGGGUGAUCGGCCACACUGGAACUGAGACACGGUCCAGACUCCUACGGGAGGCAGCAGUAGGGAAUCUUCCGCAAUGGGCGAAAGCCUGACGGAGCAACGCCGCGUGAGUGAUGAAGGUCCUCGGAUCGUAAAACUCUGUUAUUAGGGAAGAACAUACGUGUAAGUAACUGUGCACAUCUUGACGGUACCUAAUCAGAAAGCCACGGCUAACUACGUG